AUGCGACAAUAUCUCAUGCUGCUUUUCAUUAUGCUGCUACCUCAGCUGUCUCGCUCUUUACAAAUCCCAUGCCAAGCUCAGUUGGAACAAGGGGUCCAGUAUCGUAAAAUAUUUUGGUAUAAGGUAACAGAGUCUAACUCUGUUGUAGGUCUCAUCAUGAAAGAUCUCUGGAAAAACACCACAGCUCUUUACAAACAUGCUAAUCACGCGUAUCAAAUUGGGGACGAUUUGUCUUUGCUGCUUCUGUCCGAGCCUAGAGAGAAGAGGGAGACGAAAUGUGAAACUUACCGCUGCUCUGUAUGGCCACCUGUAGGUUAUUACAUUCAGGAGAGUGAUUAUAGCCUCCCACAAGGUUGCCAAAACAGUGCUGAGAUGAUGCCAGAAUUUGCCAGUCAUGCAAUGGACAUGAAGAUGACCUCUGUGUCAUAUACUCAUAUUUUAAUUCCAGUUGGAGUUCUGUUUGUGGUGUUUCUAUUGUGUUGUUUUGCACUGCUGUACAAACAGAGAGAAAAAUACACCAAGGUUCCCAUGUGAACAGCACACAUACCUGAGCAGUGGGUCCUCAAGCCUGUUUUUGGAGCCCUGAUGAUUUAGCCUGCUGUCACACUUUAUUUUCAAAGUCCUAUGUAGAUUAUCUGAUGACUCUCAACAGUGUAAGGGUUAGGUUCAGGUUUCAGAUUAUUCAAAAAACAAUAACAUUGAAAGAGGUUUCAACAUUUAAUUUGUACUAUCUUCAAUAAAAUAUAAGGUUUAAAUGAUUUGCAUACUUUUUUGGAAAUGGGGUUGUAUAUACAUGUGUGUAUGUGCACUCAUUGUCUAUUUUAUUAGCUGUUCAAGGUGAAAAUAAGUUAAUAUUUCUAUUUAUUUGCUGACAUAUUUUAAACAUAUUUUCCCCAAAUAAACAGUAAUUGUGCAUUAAAAUGUAAUGCACCGAAGUGUGUUCUCUGUAGAAAAUGUGUGCUUAUUUUAACUUUAAAAAAAUAAUAAUUUAACCAGGGGUGUCCUAGGGCUAAACCUUUGCAUAUGACUUUGCAUUUUCCAUAUACAAGAAAUUAUCAAUACCACCUUUAUUAGAGAAAUAAAAAUACAUUUUUUUCUUUUCAAAAACACAUUAUUUCUAAAAUCAUCACAAAUAAAUGUACAUCAUUUUGGAAUUAAACUCAUUUGUAUUCAUUCUAAUGAUACUACAUAUAAGAGCUUGUACUAAUAAAUGCUUACUGCCUAGUUAAAUAGCAUGUUAAAUCUCAGUUUGUGUUGGGACAAGUGGCCUGGAUUUGGUGUUGUUUUGGUUAUUGAUCAUAAUCUGAUACAUAAUGCAUACUGUUGCACCAGUGUGGUCAUAGGACGAAACUUACAAAGAAGGAAGUUAUUUAAGCGUUUGUACUCCUUGCUGUCGGUUAUACAGUCUGACUUUUGUUGUGGGUUGUUGGCAGGAACAGCGAUUUACAGCAGUGCUUUUCAUUAUAAGUUUAGGAAACUUAUCAGUGCUGUAGGGUAAGUGUUUUUUUUUUUUUUGCUCACCUACCUGAAAGAGGUCAUCUUUACUCUCUCUCUCUCUCUCUCUCUCUCUCUCUCUCUCUCUCUCUAUCUAUCUAUCUAUCUAUGUAUUCAUGUAUUCAUCUAUCUGUUAAAGCAGGGGAAUUUGGACUUCCAGUAUAGAGACUGAAGAACUUCUAGGUUUAAAGCAUUUCAACAGAUGUGUCCUCUUGUGUGAACUUGAUGUGUCUACCUGGUGCAUUUUGCCACUAGAGGGGCCUGUUGGGGGGGCCAUGGGAGUAAAUUUUAAAAUAAGGGAGGUCCUACAGUACAUAUUGGCUUUUAGUAAAACAUCCCACUCAUAUAAUUUAACACCACCGAAUUGCCUAUGGGUGCUAACAUGACAGUGAAUAUAUGAACAAAAUGCAGUUUCCUUCUAAUCUACCCUUUUCUUUUGCUAUCACAGAGAAAGGUCACCUCGGGACAUCUC
ensembl:lncRNA